UCUCCGUUGGUGAACCAGCGGAGGGAUCAUUACCGAGUUUACAACUCCCAAACCCUAUGUAAACUAUACCUGUCUACCGUUGCUUCGGCGGGUUCGCCCGCCGAGGAACCGACAAAUAAACUCUUGUAUUUCUAUCUUUAGCAUGACUGAGUGGAAUCAUAAACAAAUGAAUCAAAGCUUUCAACAACGGAUCUCUUGGUUCUG
rnacentral:misc_RNA from 1 species